rnacentral:rRNA from 1 species
GACGGAGGAUGCAAGUGUUAUCCGGAAUCACUGGGCGUAAAGCGUCUGUAGGUGGUUUAAUAAGUCAACUGUUAAAUCUUGAGGCUCAACCUCAAAAUCGCAGUCGAAACUAUUAGGCUAGAGUAUAGUAGGGGUAAAGGGAAUUUCCAGUGGAGCGGUGAAAUGCGUAGAGAUGUGGAGGAACACCGAUGGCGAAGGCAGCCCCCUGGGCUAACACUGACGCUCAUGCACGAAAGCGUGGGGAGCAAACAGG